GGUGGGAAAGUGAUGAAUUGUGAUGCACCGGGCUUUAGUGCGAACAGUUUUAGCGAGUCAUGUGAUCAUGUUUAGCGAGUCAUAUGAUCAUGUUUAGCGAGUCAUAUGAUCAUGUUUAGCGAGUCACAUGACGUUCUCUCAGCUGACUGGAUGUAAUGCGAGUAGUAUAUUAGGCCACCUCGCAUUUACUAUUUGAAAUCUGAUGGUGUGACUAAUUUAUCACGUUGAACUUGGCCGGCGGUGAUCCGAUACGAAGCAGGGUUCGUUGUCUGCCGCGUGAUCGGCAUCUUUGGCUGUAUAUACAUGUUUCCUUGUUUGCGCUGUGUCCAGACAAGAUGGAUGGAUAGCUUCAUGAGUUUUGUUGAAGAUCGUGUUGAAAUUGUCUAUGUGGAAACAUUGAUUUCAGUCUAUAUGGUAUGAGAUCAGUACAGACGUGAUCAGGUAUUAAAUAAUUAAUAUUAUUAACCAGAUAUUAUGCAUUUCAAGUAAUUGAAUGGGUAUGGGAUUAAUAUGAUUGUUUGUUAUUUUCAGGAGUAAAUUGUAACCACUGUUUUCCCUAUGUGUAAAACAUCGACAAGUUAGUGUGUUGCACUCAGGUUGUGUGAAACCAUUUGCCUUGUAUGUAAAACCACCUCCAAAUUAGUGUGUUAUUGAUUUAUUGUUUGCUGUAUACGGCGAGGCCUGUUCUUUUCUUUUGUUUCUUUGUCAGCUGGGGUUGGGAGAACACAGAGAGUAACAUAUUCUGCUCGAGCUGGAACCUAGUCCGUGCUAUUGCCGUGAGGCUUGUACUAAGUGUGCGUGUGUAUCGUGACAUUACUAAUAAUAUUGCAGUUUGUAGUGGGUUUAUGGUUGAUGUGCGGUGUAACUUUUAACUAAUUACAGCACUUCUAAUUAUAGUGUGUAUAUAGCUUACAGCUGUGUAUAUGUGACUAGGCCUGUUAUAUCUGCUUGGGGUAGGUUAUGCUAUACAACCGCUAAGUCCUCUCUGUGAUCCCGUUCUCAGUUGGCACCUUUUCACCCCUCGCCUUUUAUGAGGUGAUAUUGAUUUGUGGUUUUUGUCUGUUGUUAAGACUUAACAUAGCAGCCUGCCUGCCGUGUGUGCACAUUUAUUUGAUGUCGAUGUAUAUUGCCUCUGGAAAAAGUUAAGAUCACCCCUAUGUCAAAUGAAAGUAUUUAUACAUAAACUCUAUUUUUCUACGACAACUAAUUAAGGCAUUAAAGUGUGUGUCUCUUUUUGAACACUGUGUCUACUCCCUCAUUCAUUCAGUUGAAUACCUGAUAGUGGGAAUCCUUGGUUUAUACAUUGGUUCAUUAAUUGUGG